ACGCCCUCAGGAGGUGAUCUAGGGAGAUCAGAUUCGUGCUGGUUUCUCCCUUGAUCGAUUCUUGAAUCUUCUUCCCUUCUUCUUCUCGGUUUCAUGGAUGCCGGUGAUAUUUGAUUGACGCCAUCUAGGGCCGGAGCUACCGGCUGUGCCCUAGCUGUGAUCCUUGAGGCAAGGAUCGAUUCCUUGUUGUCCGUUCUUGCUCUUCUUCCUUGUCGCUGACUAAUCUGUCGAGUGAGGUGAAGUUCUGGAUUGUGAGGUGAACCCAGCAGAGAGGAUCUGUAGGCUGUGAAGUUCUGUUCUGUCCUGUUUUGUGGAUUGGUUGGCUCCAGUAGCAGCUCACCUUGGUUACGGUAGCCACCUCAUCCAGCAGCUCUUCUGAUUUCAGUAGUUACAG